AAGUCGUAACAAGGUUUCCGUAGGUGAACCUGCGGAAGGAUCAUUAAGGAAAGUUGAUGCUGGUAUUAAUAUCUUGUUAAUACUCUGCUAUUCAACAUCUUUUUCUUGUAUACUGUUUUGUGGGGCUAAAGUCUAGCUUUUUGCUAUUCUUGAGCAUUUUUUAAACACUAUAAAAAUAGCCAUUUAGUAUUCUAAUUAAUACAACUUUUAACAAUGGAUCUCUUGGCUCUC
rnacentral:misc_RNA from 1 species